ensembl:snRNA U6 U6 spliceosomal RNA
GUGCUCACUUUGGCAGUACGUAAAUAAAAACUGGAACACCACAAGAGAAGAUUAGUACGGUUCCUGCAAAUGGAGGAUGGCACACAAACUCAUGAAGCAGUCCAUAUUUUA